CUUAUAUCAUAUUGUUAAAAAUAGUAACGUAAGCAAAUGUAACGUCAAUUAGGUAGUUGAUUAGGUAGUCAAUAUAAUUAUUGCCACUGGCUCUUUGACGCAAAUCGAAAUACAAUGUGCCUUCACUCAUCGGGGUGCUACCAGACUUUUCAUUAGAGAGUCAUAGUGGCUGAGAUAACACCCGUAAUAACUUGAACCAGAUAAUGCUGGCAUAGGAAUGA
rnacentral:misc_RNA from 1 species